rnacentral:misc_RNA from 1 species
AUGCACUGAAGAAUGGGGUCUCAUCUGCUCCCGAAGCUGGUUCAUCUCCAGUGGAAAGUCCAACUGCAAAUAAAAGAAACUAUGAAGCUACUCCGCCUGCUUUUCAAUAUGGAUAUAAGAGGUCUUCAAGAAAAGUCAGAAAACAAUCUCAUUUAGGCCCUAUUCCUUCUCGAAGCAGUCCUCCAUUGUCACCAUUCUUACGAGUAGGCCUGCCAGCACCUGUUUCUGAUUCUAUUUCUGCUUCAAGUCCACUGUCAGGUGUAGUUCUAUCUAGUGUACAGUCUCCAAAUACA